ACAGCACAGCAGAUUCACCUGCUGCUCCAGCUUCUUCCAGCUGCCUGUGGGAUUCCUGAGGAGGAAAGGCCACUCUUGCCACCUCUUGUGUAGAGCUGUGAAUACCUGUGUGUGUUGGUUCAAGAGCAAACAUCUGCAGCUCCCCCCUGCUCCGCGGCACAGCGAGGAACAGGAGCAGCACGGAGCAGGAGGAUGGGCUGCCUGGUCCCUUGCCAGGCACGCAGGAAAGAUGAGUUACUCAGUGUGCUGCUUGCAUUUGAUAUGUGGUAGACUCAGCAGACUGAUGCCCUCCAUCCAUCCUGGAUCAAGCUGUGGGUGUGAGCAGCGUGCUGGAGGGGACUGAUGGUGCUUCCCUGCCUGCCAAGGGAUGGAGAAACUUAAGGAAAAUGGAGAGGGGGGGAAAAAAGGUCAAGGCUGGACAGGAAAGGCAAAAUGUUGGUGUGAGAAGACAAAGGGAGUCUUGCCAGAGGCUCAUCCCAGCUCCAUCCAGACCUGCUGAGCUGCUUCCUGAGGAUUCUGAGUGGACAGAAACAGCCCCUGGAACAGCAUAACUAGC